GUUUGACUUGAGAUCAAAUGGGCUCUGCCCGCGCAGGUUCGAAUCCUGCUCGCUGCG
rnacentral:tRNA from 1 species